rnacentral:rRNA from 1 species
GACGAACGCUGGCGGCGUGCUUAACACAUGCAAGUCGAACGGAAAGGCCCUGCUUUUGUGGGGUGCUCGAGUGGCGAACGGGUGAGUAACACGUGAGUAACCUGCCCUUGACUUUGGGAUAACUUCAGGAAACUGGGGCUAAUACCGGAUAGGAGCUCCUGCUGCAUGGUGGGGGUUGGAAAGUUUCGGCGGUUGGGGAUGGACUCGCGGCUUAUCAGCUUGUUGGUGGGGUAGUGGCUUACCAAGGCUUUGACGGGUAGCCGGCCUGAGAGGGUGACCGGCCACAUUGGGAUGGGAUUCCGGCCCAGCCCCCUCCGGGGGGCAGCGGGGGGGAAAUUGGCCAAAGGGGGGAAAGCCUGUGGCACCACCCCCGGGGGCGGGAGGAGGGCCUUCGGGUUGUAAACCCCUUUCCCCUGGGACGAAGGGGGGGGGGCGGGAAUGGGAAAAGAAGCACCGGCUAACUACGU